rfam:Oryza sativa Indica Group cultivar 93-11 Ctg046462, whole genome shotgun sequence.
GGAUGCGAUCAUACCAGCACUAAAGCACCGGAUCCCAUCAUAACUUCGAGGUUAAGCGUGCUUGGGCGAGAGUAGUACUAGGAUGGGUGACCUCCUGGGAAGUCCUCGUGUUGCAUCCC